UCCUCCGCCUCCUCCGCCGCAGGGGCUGGCGCUCGGCUCCCGGCUCUGCUGCCUGCCGCCGGGCUUCACUGGGCCGUGGGCGCCGUCCGGCUCCUGGAGCGAGCCUUUCCGGCUGAGCAGGCAGUGCGUUCAUUUGGGCGCGCCCCAGGCGGGGAGGUGCCUCCUGGCGUUCACCAAGAACGGGGCGGGGAGGGGUCGGGGUUUCCUGCGCCCGGGGACCGUGGCGCUGGGACGGCGGAAGGGCCGCUGCCCGCUCGGGGUCUGGAAUUUCGGGACCGUUGACUGGGUCGAAUGUCAGAGACGGAAGGGGCCUUGGUGAUCCCGUUCACCAUACUCCCCUCCCCCUUACCACUGGUCUGGGAAAUGGAUGCCUGGAGAGCGGAAAUCCAGUUGUCAAAAUUGACUGCAGAAGAGAACCUAACAGACAAGUGAAAAUGGAAGAAAUUGAGAAAGUUAUCAAAAAGCUGCCAUCCCCCAGAACACCAGGUCCACAUGGUGUUUCAGGUUAAAAAAACAUCCUUCAUGAAGAAAAAAGAUCUUAAGCAACAUGAUGGAUUCAGAAGCUCAUGAAAAGAGGCCGCCCAUCCUAGCAUCUUCAAAACAAGAUAUAUCACCUCAUAUUGCCAAUGUUAGUGAAGUGAAGCAUUACUUGUGUGGCUGCUGUGCAGCUUUCAACAAUGUAGCCAUCACGUUUCCCAUUCAGAAGGUCCUCUUUAGGCAACAGCUGUAUGGCAUCAAAACCCGGGAUGCUGUACUUCAGUUGAGGAGGGAUGGAUUUCGAAACUUGUAUCGCGGAAUCCUUCCCCCAUUAAUGCAGAAGACAACCACACUGGCACUUAUGUUUGGUCUUUAUGAGGACUUAUCUUGCCUUCUCCGUAAGCAUGUCAGUACCCCGGAGUUUGCAACCCGUAGCAUGGCAGCAGCACUCGCAGGGACAACAGAAGCAAUCUUCACUCCAUUGGAAAGAGUUCAGACAUUGCUUCAAGACCACAAGCAUCAUGACAAAUUUACAAACACUUACCAGGCUUUCAAGGCACUGAAAUGCCAUGGAAUUAGAGAGUAUUAUCGAGGCUUGGUGCCCAUUCUUUUCCGUAACGGAUUCAGCAAUGUCCUUUUUUUUGGCCUUCGAGGUCCCAUCAAGGAGCACCUGCCCACGGCGACAACUCACAGUGCUCAUUUGGUCAAUGAUUUUAUCUGCGGAGGCCUUUUGGGUGCCAUGUUGGGAAUCUUGUUUUUUCCAGUUAAUGUUGUAAAAACUCGCAUGCAGUCUCAGAUUGGUGGGGAAUUUCAGUCUUUCCCCAAGGUUUUCCAAAAAAUCUGGCUUGAAAGGGACAGGAAAUUGACAAAUCUUUUCAGAGGUGCCCAUCUGAAUUACCAUCGGUCCCUCAUCUCUUGGGGCAUAAUUAAUGCGACUUAUGAAUUCCUGUUAAAGAUUAUAUGAAAGAAAUUAGUUGAGUGCCAUUUAUCAACUGAAUAGACCUAAAAAGAAUUCAGUUUGGCAUCGUUCCUAAUUGGCCAAGUACAAGUUGGUGUCGUAAGUUCAGGGCACAAUGAAUUAUGGGCAAAGCUGUUUUCCUUAAGCACCAACAAAUGCAGAAUAAAAGGUUUCAGUAGGAAAUUUUAAAGGUUUUUUUGGGUUUGUUUCUAUUUUUAAAAAAUCAUUAUCUGAGAACUUUAGGCUAAUUGCCAGAUUAAUAGCUGUCUAGUUGAUGGCUUUUGACAAGGAAACUAACAGACAAGAUAUGAUUCUUUUUUCCAGAAGUCUUCUGUGUCUAAACAUAAGUGGCCAUGACCAGCCAGAGAAAAGACUCUUAGAGUCCCAUGAAUUCUCAGGCUUACUUCUAUUACUCCAUUUCUUGCUUCUCUGCUCUUAGGAGGAGUUGCAAAGGCAGUUUUUGUUCACUUAAGCAUAUCCGUGGUAGGACAGAGGGACAGAAUAGAGAUGAAAAACAGAUGAUUAUUUGUAGGCUUUUCGUGAUAAGUUGUGUUUGUUUUGAAACUGAGCACCUGCUGGGAUGGUCAUUAUCCAAGCAACUAAUGAAAUCUCCCAAAUGGAGAGGUUUUGCUUUCUAGGGUUGAAAGUUUUCUCUGUAGUUCUAAAUGUGACCGUGAACCUUUCCAAAAUAUUUUUAUGUUAAUUUCUCUCAUUGCAUUGCCAAAAGAUGGCGGGACUUAAAUUUUGUUAAUGGUGUUUCAUCCCACUAGGAGGUUUUGUGUUACAGGUAUCUCCCACUUUUCCAGUUUCCUUUAUGCCACUUCACUUUUACAAAAGACCUAUAUCAGUACCUGUCUUCACUAACUGAAAGAAAUCCAAAGAGGAUUUUUGCUUUUACGAAAAAAGGUAAUUGCUUCUCACUCUACCCCAUUUCGGCUUAUGAAAGGUUCCACAGGAAUAUGUGGGAAACCUGUAAUUGCAUACAGGUCCAACUCUGUUUAGCUCUGUGUCUUUGAAUUAUUGUUGCCAACUUAGUUAAGAGCUUUGGAGUUGGUUUUUUUUUUUCCUUUGAGUAAUAGUUUGUCCUAUUCAAAUGUCCUAUUUGCGUGAAAUUCCCUUGAGGAAAAAAACAACAAAAAUGCUGCUAUAAAGUUUUAUUUUGGAAGUCUCUUAAUAGGAUCUCAGUUUUUUUGGUUUCUAAAUGUUACUUGGAAGGGAAAAAAGAUCUCAGGAUAGCUUUCACCCCACAGUGUUAGCUUUUUAAAUGAAUUUUAUUCAUGGGAAUAGACUUCUAUUAGGAUUUUUACAUUUUGGAAACCCAAUUUUAACCAUUUCAUCAUUUAAACAAUAAAACAGUUUGGGAGGGUAAGACCUAAAUAAAAAUAAUCGGAAGGGUUAGUUUGAAAUUCUGGAAAUUGGUAAUUAUUGGAUAGCAUACCUGUCCCUCACCUAACAGACAAAAACUUACUUGUCAAAGGGAUCAGAUUUUAAAAUAAUUUUUUCCAGAUAAAUAAGGCAGAAUGACUCCUACACCAAUUGAAUGAAUAACUAAUAUAUGACAUCCUAGAAAAGUGGUUUAUCAAUCUUUACGUAAUCCACAUCUGUAUAUACUAUGUAGUUAAACUUGUGUCCCAGCAUCUGACACGGCAGAGCACGUAGGUUUCUUAAUACCAGUCUUUCAGCGUUCUGGGUAAUUGCAUGUGAAUACGUGCACAUGCUGACCAAAAUAAAACCAGGAUCUCAAUUGGUAGUUUACUCAGUUUCUGGACAGACAGUCCAAAAAAGAUGUUUACCUCUCAAUGCAGGGUGGCUGGUCAGAUGGCACGAGUGUCCUUCCAGCUGCAGAGGAUUCGGAGGCGUGGACAAGAGUUUGCCAGGCGGUAAUGAGGCGCAGUAGCUUUACAGCGGUUCUGUUUGACAGCGUUGUGCUGGGAAUGGCAGUUUAUUCUGGAAACCAAGGUGCAGAUGUCAGGAUUUGAGAAAACAAUUUGACACCAAAUAAAUCUUUUGAAGACCAAACUGCAAAUGCAUUACCAGGAAUGGUUUUGUGUUGUCCUGUGGAUUUCUUAAUUUGACAGAAAACUCAACAGAACUUAUGGUAGCCAACAGCUUUGUCUGAACUCUGAAAUAAGUAAAAAUGUGUUAUUAGUAAGAGAUUCUAACUAUUGCUUUCACCUUCAGUGUGAACUAGUGUGGUAGUAAUUUUGAAAAGACAAACAUUAUUGAAUAACUUUAUCUGGAAAGCUUUAAAAGUGGCCUUUCUGUUAUAUACGUGGCACUGACGGCUCGUGAGUGCAGGGCACUUCUUUCUGGUCUUGCCUCCACUACUUCAGGUCUGAUGCCACCAGAAAUCUGUUAUGGAUUCUACAUUUAACACACUUAGAGUGGUACAGACCCCCAGGACUGCACCAUAGAGUAAACACAACCUCCAUAUGGUGGCAAGCAUGUGUGUCUUUGUUUCGUUUGUGGUUGAAGACAAAGUUGAUGUUUUUAUCUCAAUAGUCGAUAUUCAUCUUACUUUAUGGUUCUUUAUAUAAUCACCUGCUGUAUAUUGUGAACUGUGCAAUAAGUCAGAAUUGUAUAUAUAAUCAUCUUUGGAGACCUGAAAUCCCCUGCUUGAGUACAGUGGUAAUACUCAGUUACAAGGCUGUGCAGACGUGUAAGGGGGUAAUAACGGGUGGUGCUAGUGGGCCUCAUGGUGGGCCGGUCUUGUUGACCAGCACUGGUUCAUUGUGGGUGAAGUACUGCUGUCAAAGGGGGUGCAGUCAGGAUGGAGUUGAGACAGGAGAUCACAUUUAAAGAAAGUGUAAGCACUCAGACUUGAUCUCUCUUAAAAUAAUCUUUGUUUUCUCACGUGUUUAUAAAUACAUAUCAAAGACUUGAACAGGUGUUCUUAAAUUUGAGGAUUUUUAGUUUUUAAUGCUGUCUUUUUGCCUGAUAUUGAAUAUUUGCUUGCCUGAAUGGCUCCCAAAUUGUGGGGAGUCUCUACAUGUUUCCUUUUUUAAAGUUUCAUUAUUAGAAGUGGUUAAGCACACAAAGCUGUUUUUGUUUGAUAUUUUGAGUUUAUUGUGACUGUAUGAGUUUAAAUGCCAUCUGUUAAAUGUUCUAGAAUUAACAUGCUUUUGGUAAUUCUGUCUGGAAUAAAGUUUUUUGUUUGUUUUUUUUUUUAA